rnacentral:rRNA from 1 species
UACGUAGGUGGCAAGCGUUGUCCGGAUUUAUUGGGCGUAAAGGGCGCGUAGGCGGUCACGCACGUCCGUUGUGAAAUCGCUCGGCUCAACUGGGCGGGGUCAGCGGAUACGGCGUGGCUGGAGCAAGCUAGGGGGCAAUGGAAUUCCCGGUGUAGUGGUGGAAUGCGUAGAUAUCGGGAGGAACACCAGUGGCGAAGGCGGUUGCCUGGAGCUUUGCUGACGCUGAUGCGCGAAAGCUAGGGGAGCAAACGGG